rnacentral:sRNA from 1 species
CCAAAAGGUGGGUGCUGCCAGCCCUGCCUUACUGAUGGGCCCCCUGAGGCUCAGAGGCUGCAGGUCACCCUCAUUACCCAUGAUCACUGCAGCUGGACGCCAUCUGAGUCCCCCGAGGCCUUGUUCCUACCUAGUGGCCCCAGCCCACACUCUUCCAUGGGGGGAGCCCUGCGCCCUGUGCCCUGCCCUCCCCUCUCCGGCUCCCUGAGAUUCGGGGGCUCUGGGGCGCAGGCCAUGUGGAGGAUGUGCUGCUCAUCAUGGAUGUGUACAAAUUGGCACUGAGCUUCCAGUUGUGCCGCCUGGAGCAGCUGUGCCGCCAGUACAUCGAGGCCUCCGUGGACCUGCAGAACGUGCUGGUCGUGUGCGAGAGUGCCGCCCGGCUGCAGCUGAGCCAACUCAAGGAGCACUGCCUGAACUUCGUGGUAAAGGAGUCCCACUUCAACCAGGUGAUCAUGAUGAAGGAGUUCGAGCGCCUCUCCUCUCCACUGAUAGUGGAGAUUGUGCGGCGGAAGCAGCAGCCGCCCCCUCGCACUCCCUUGGACCAGCCAGUGGACAUUGGCACAUCUCUGAUCCAGGACAUGAAGGCAUACCUGGAGGGAGCGGGCGCGGAAUUCUGUGACAUCACUCUGUUGCUUGACGGGCACCCACGGCCAGCCCACAAGGCUAUCCUGGCCGCCCGCUCCAGCUACUUUGAAGCCAUGUUCCGGUCCUUCAUGCCCG